rnacentral:rRNA from 1 species
UACGGAGGAUGCAAGCGUUAUCCGGAUUCAUUGGGUUUAAAGGGUGCGCAGGCGGAGAGAUAAGUCAGUGGUGAAAAACUGCCGCUCAACGGUAGUCUUGCCAUUGAUACUGUCUUUCUUGAGUAUGGAUGAGGUAGGCGGAAUGUGCAGUGUAGCGGUGAAAUGCAUAGAUAUUGCACGGAACACCAAUUGCGAAGGCAGCUUACUGGACCAUUACUGACGCUCAGGCACGAAAGCGUGGGGGAU